rnacentral:lncRNA from 1 species
AUUUAUUUAAAUAACAUAAUAUAAAAUGAGUCACAAAAGUUGUUGUGUUGUUAGUUGUAAGAAUACAGGUAGAAAAAGUGCUUGUCAUUUUUAUAAAUUUCCAACAGCAAGUUGGAAAAUAAAUCAAAGGAAAAAAUGGAUAGCCGCUGAGGAGACAAAAUAUUGAUGGCUCAUUGUAGACUCCAAAGGCACAUGAUUAUAUUUGUAGUGAUCAUUUUAUUGGAGGCCAAAAGUCUGACAUAGAAUCGAGUCCCAGUUACAUUCCUACUAAAUUUCCUACAGUUUAUAAAUCUCAAAAAGUUAAUGAGUUAAUGGUCACGAAUAGAUUUAAGCGCUUAAUGGACCGCCGGCAGAACAAAAAUGCAUCUUCAGCACUCAAUCCUGAGCCUGAAGUUAAUGAAUUGCAAGAAAUGAUUACUGAAGAUCCGCCGACAGUAACUCAUUUGAGAGUUGAUCAAGAGUGUCAA